AAAGGCCCGUCUCCUAAACCCAGGCUGCCACGGGCCUGUCCCAGAAACCCACAGCCACAUGGACUGUGCGUGUCUGAGCCCACGGCCUCUCAGCUGCGACCUCAGUGAUGCUGGCCUGUGACCUGCUCUCUCUCCCGUCAGGGCCCUGGCUCUGGAGGAUGCUGAAAGAGGAAGACACAGAAGCAGGACGACCCUGAGAGAUUAAGCCUCUUAAUCGUGAAACAGAACCAGGCCUCCUCUCCCCACCUGCCCAGCAGCAUGAGAGCAGCAUGACUGGCCGGCCGCAGGAGAAGCCCCCAGAGCCAGGCCCCCAUCUCAACCAGCUGCUGCAGAAGUCAAGGUGUGAGCAGCAUUUCUUCACCACGGUGGCAUUUGGUCCGUCCCUUAGCCCGGGUGAGGAUGUAAAACCCCUCGCUCUGCACAUGCAUGGUAGAGGCCAACAGGAACACCUGGCUGCAGCCACGGUCACGGACAUGUCAGCCGUGGAGUAGUGUGGACGCUUUCUCUCUGCUUCUCAGGGUUUCAGUCCUUUCGGGUUUGUGUCAUUGACCUUUUUGUAUGGUUUUGUGGCUGGACAU
rnacentral:lncRNA from 1 species